CCUACCUUCGGGACCACUGAGAACUUUCUAAAGCUCCGCGCCUCAGCUUGCGUCUCUCAAAUUCUACAUGAGGAAAGCAGAUGCAUCAACCAGAACAUCAUGGUAGGGGGCGGCCAGAGACCACUAGAUCGUGGUAAGGACUCGGAAAGCUAAGGACUCAGAGGUAACUAGUCCUGCUCCUGAGCCCUGGAAAACCUGAUGAACACGGUAGGUCCGGGAGGGGAUAGAUCACGGAUCCCUGUGGUGGGAAGUUCUCGAUCCCACUUGUGUGUGGCCGCUGCUCUGGGGGGGGGGUAUGCAAGGCAGUUGGGGGGGUUAUCUUGCCUUGUUUGUUAAAUGUAGAGUGCCUUCCACCACCACCACCCCACAGAGACAAGCAGAGCUGUGUUCGUGGGAUGCAGGAAGUCCCAGCAGGGUUAUUUUACACGGAACGCACAUGUCACAGAAGAAUCUGAAGGUGCCUGCAGCUCAAUGACAGAAAGGAGUGUUUGAGUGACAGCUUUGAGACAACCCAGCAUUCCUUUGUGUAUGCUGGUGCGCACAUGUACAGAGGUCGGAGGACAGAGAGUUUGUGGAUUCUGGGAUUGGAGCUCAGGUCGUGAAGCUUGGCAGUAAUCACCCAUACUGGCUGGGCCAUCUCACCAGCCUUCUUCCAGCCUUCAGACUGGACUCGGGUGCGUGAUCAGCUUUCCUCCUAAGCAUCGCUGGAGCCUUCAGCAGCACGGUGCUGCCUUUGGAUCCUUGCCAUUGCUGUGUGUGACGUGGAACCUCACACAUGUCCCGUCCUGACUGGAAACCUGCUCUGCUUCAGCCCCCUACGUGGAGCACAACCUCCAGUCCUGAAGGGGAAGGUUUGCUAAGCAGGAGAGCUGGGGGAGCUCUGUCUCCGAAGGACUAUGAUUGAACCCAGGUCCACAUGAAUGUUCUACCACUGAUCGACAUUGAACUCCCUUUUUAUUUUAUUUUGAGACAAGAUCUCACUGAGUUGCCCAUACUGGCCUCUCAAACUUGGAACACUCAUGCCUUAGACUCCCAAGUAACCAGUAUUAUAGGCAUGAACCACCAUGCCCUGUCUGGAGGGUUUCUUGGUUAACCACCUCUGUAAGAAUGAGCUUGGGGGGGGGGGGGUAGCAAACCCCCAGCAUUAUGAAUUAAUACCCUGCCUCUCCCAUAUAUGGCACAGUAUCUGCCUAAUAAAGUUGUGUAAAAGAA